rnacentral:rRNA from 1 species
UAUCGGAUUGAUACUAAGCCAUGUGAGUCAUUGUAGCAAUGCAAGGCAGACGGCUCAGUAACACGUAGCCAACCUACCCUAUGGACGGGGAUAACCUCGGGAAACUGAGGAUAAACCCCGAUAGAUCAUUAUACCUGGAACGGUUUAUGGUCCAAAUGAUUCGUCGCCGUAGGAUGGGACUGCGGCCUAUCAGCUUGUUGGUGAGGUAAUGGCCCACCAAGGCUAUUACAGGUACGGGCUCUGAGAGGAGAAGCCCGGAGAUGGGUACUGAGACACGGACCCAGGCCCUAUGGGGCGCAGCAGGCGAGAAAACUUUGCAAUGUGCGCAAGCACGACAAGGUUAAUCCGAGUGUUUCCUGCUAAAGGAAUCUUUUGCUAGUCCUAAAAACACUAGCGAAUAAGGGGUGGGCAAGUUCUGGUGUCAGCCGCCGCGGUAAAACCAGCACCUCAAGUGGUCAGGAGGAUUAUUGGGCCUAAAGCAUCCGUAGCCUGCUCUGUAAGUUUCCGGUUAAAUCCAUUAGCUUAACUGAUGGGCCGCCGGAAAAACUGCAAAGCUAGGGAGUGGGAGAGGUAGACGGUACUCGGUAGGAAGGGGUAAAAUCCUUUGAUCUAUUGAUGACCACCUGUGGCGAAGGCGGUCUACCAGAACACGUUCGACGGUGAGGGAUGAAAGCUGGGGGAGCAAACCGGAUUAGAUACCCGGGUAGUCCCAGCUGUAAACGAUGCAGACUCGGUGAUGCCCUGGCUUGUGGCCAGUGCAGUGCCGCAGGGAAGCCGUUAAGUUUGCCGCCUGGGAAGUACGUACACAAGUAUGAAACUUAAAGGAAUUGGCGGGGGAGCACCACAAGGGGUGAAGCCUGCGGUUC